GCCUGGGUGGCUCAGUCGGUUGAGCGUCUGACUUCAGCUCAGGUCACGAUCUCGCGGUCCGUGAGUUCGAGCCCCGUGUCGGGCU
rfam:Felis catus isolate Cinnamon breed Abyssinian chromosome A2, whole genome shotgun sequence.